AUUUUAGAGAUUCGAAAAAUACAGUUGUUUGACUCCACACCUGUCAGUGAUUACGCAAAAUGAUGUUGACCCAUAUG